AUGGGUUGGAAGAGGAGAAAGCAACUAUCGCAUGGAGUGAUUAAGAAGUCCCUUAGUGGACCGAUCAGCUCGAUUGAGUUAUAUGGUUCGGAGAAGGGUAUCUCAGAGAAUUGUGUAGUGAAAGUGAGGAAUAAUGAUGAAGGCGAGAAGUAUCUCACGACUGGUUGGUAUGAAUUUGCUAAACAGGAAGAAUUAAAGAAAGGAUACAUCAUGCAUUUUUGCAUUCGAUAUCCAUCAGCCGAUGAAAUACUGGUAUAUGUUGAUCCGAGAAAGAAGAGACAGUGA